rnacentral:lncRNA from 1 species
UAGAAUAUGCAGAAGGCAGCUAAAAAUGAGAGAUAAAUUCCAAUAGUGAGGACACAAGGCAAUGAAGCCCUUUGAGGACUGGACUACUUCAUCAUCUAGAGCAUUUCCUGGAUCUCCCUAGAUGGUAGAGAUGCUGGAGGUGAAGAGGAAGACAAGGAAGAAUUUUGCAGAACCCUUAAACCAUCCAUGAAACUAUGGUCUUAAUUUUGCUGAGUGUUUAAAAGGAAAAGAUGUGAUUGAACAUGGAAGGAGGAAACAUCACAGAUUCUUUGUGUGCACUUCCACAAGUGGACACAUGUAUAGCCUUGGGCAGCUGGUUCAAGCAGAAUCUGAACAUUCACUCAGGAUGAGUGAAUCCCUGCUAGGAUCACAUCCAGGUG